ACUAACUCUAUUUUAUAUCAAUCUUCUCUUUUUUUCUUACCAAUACUUUUCACUAACUAUUGUAACAAACCCUAUAAUCAUUUAUUGCUCAUUCUGUAAGGAAAAACUACUAAAAAUGUCUUCUUCCAGCUUGCAGUCAAGAACCUCACGAAGAUCAUGCUCAGUUGUUUCCUAUACUAGCUCGACCCAACAAUGAAAUGCAGUCACAAUCUUGAUGCUGAAUUAUUGACAUCUUGGAUAGAAGACAACCCAAGAAGAAGAUUUUUUGUUGUCAUGUUAGAAAGCUCGAUUCUGACUUGUCCCCUUACCAUAAAAGGGUAUUUCUGAGAAUGAAGAACCAAAGGGAUGUUUGCAAGAGCAAUUGAAAAUGAAAGUUGAAAUGGAAAAACUAGUUGCAGAGAAAUUGAGAGCUUUUGAUACGAGAAGUGAAAGAGUAAAAACAAGUUUUGAGUGCAAUAGAUAAGUUGUAUAGGAAGAAUGUAGACCUUUUUAAUUUAAGAUAGAAACAACUAGAAACUAUGAAUAAAUAGUUGGUUGUUUAAAAAAAAAUUGAAGGAAAGAUUGUAAAAUAAAAAGGAUGGACACAAAUUUUAAUUGUGUUGGUGAUUGUUUUGUUGGUGGUUGCAUAGACAUGUCCGAGUUAUAAAAAUGGUGAUGGUCGUGCUCUAGACAGGAA